AAACUUCUGCAAUAGGGUUUAGUAUAUUGCAUCUCUUAAAUCGAGAUUAAUUGCUUUGCAGAUAGCAGUAAUAUAUAUGACCUUGUCGUAAUCGAUUACAUCGAUUCUCAAUUUUUUCU
rnacentral:ncRNA from 1 species